UGGGGAAUAUUGCACAAUGGGCGCAAGCCUGAUGCAGCCAUGCCGCGUGUGUGAAGAAGGCCUUCGGGUUGUAAAGCACUUUCAGCGGGGAGGAAGGCGUUAAGGUUAAUAACCUUGGCGAUUGACGUUACCCGCAGAAGAAGCACCGGCUAACUCCGUGCCAGCAGCCGCGGUAAUACGGAGGGUGCAAGCGUUAAUCGGAAUUACUGGGCGUAAAGCGCACGCAGGCGGUCUGUCAAGUCGGAUGUGAAAUCCCCGGGCUCAACCUGGGAACUGCAUUCGAAACUGGCAGGCCAGAGUCUUGUAGAGGGGGGUAGAAUUCCAGGUGUAGCGGUGAAAUGCGUAGAGAUCUGGAGGAAUACCGGUGGCGAAGGCGGCCCCCUGGACGAAGACUGACGCUCAGGUGCGAAAGCGUGGGGAGCAAACAGG
rnacentral:rRNA from 1 species